rnacentral:rRNA from 1 species
CUGCCAGUAGUCAUAUGCUUGUCUCAAAGAUUAAGCCAUGCAUGUCUCAGUACAAGCCAAAUUAAGGUGAAACCGCGAAAGGCUCAUUAAAUCAGUUAUGGUUCCUUAGAUCGUACCCACAAUUACUUGGAUAACUGUGGUAAUUCUAGAGCUAAUACAUGCAAACAGAGCUCCGACCGGAGACGGAAGGAGUGCUUUUAUUAGAUCAAAACCAAUCGGUGGCGAGUUCGCUCGUCAUCGUACAACUUGGUGACUCUGAAUAACUUUACGCUGAUCGCACGGUCUCGCACCGGCGACGCAUCUUUCAAAUGUCUGCCUUAUCAACUGUCGAUGGUAGGUUCUGCGCCUACCAUGGUUGUAACGGGUAACGGGGAAUCAGGGUUCGAUUCCGGAGAGGGAGCCUGAGAAACGGCUACCACAUCCAAGGAAGGCAGCAGGCGCGCAAAUUACCCACUCCCGGCACGGGGAGGUAGUGACGAAAAAUAACGAUACGGGACUCAUCCGAGGCCCCGUAAUCGGAAUGAGUACACUCUAAACCCUUUAACGAGGAUCAAUUGGAGGGCAAGUCUGGUGCC